AGGUUUGAUUAUUUAGCCCAUUUGUUAAAGAGAGAAUAAGAGGGUCUGGAGAGUGGGGGGCUGGUGGGUAUUCAGCUUUUCUCCCUGCAUUUCUGCCAGAGCUCAUAAAGAAGGGAACCCCCACCUAACCUUCUGCCCCUCUAUCUACCCUCUUAUUAAAUCCUCCACAUGGAAGAAGUGACUAGUCUGGUCAGAGACACUGGGGACAGUUCACUAGAGAAAGGGAUAGUGACAUUGAAAGGCACUCACUUUCAUCUCGGACAGGAUCUAAUGCCUGCUUUUUCAUCUCAUACUCCUAGGAGCAACAGGCUGUUUUGCACAUUUCCCCCCUUGUACUAGGGGUCUGGCAGGCCAACCUCAUCCUGAUACCUGGAAAGGAAGGCCUUCCUGUGUACCACUGCCAUCCCAUCUUCCACCUCCAAGACACACACUGCAGACUGAUUUAAGUAAUUCUGUUUGUACUCCCUGCUGGUAAUCAAUACCUGAUAGCCUAAUGAUUUGUUUACUCAUCUGACCCCAAACACUGACUUCUCCCCCACCAUCACAUUAAAGCUUCUGAAAAGCAAGGACUUUUUUAGUCGUCUUUGGUUCCAUGAUGCCCAGCACAGUGCCUGGUGCAUAGUGUGAGCUCAGUGAACGGAGGCAGUUCCUUUGGUUACUAUCUGAUAUCAUCUUACCCAAAGCUUCAGAAUAGAAUGAUACAUAAAACCCAAAGUGUUUCUCAACCCAAGGACAGUCUGGCCUCUCUACCUAGAAAGGGGCUUGGAAAGAGAUAUCCAGA
rnacentral:lncRNA from 10 species